AUUAGAAAUGUUUACCUCCUUCAAGUUUGUUAAUAAUGUAAUAAAUAUUUUUUUUCCAGAACUGAGUAUCAAACCCAGGGCCUCAUGUUGGUACAGAGCAACAUCAUCACUGCAUGUAAUGAAUCUGAAGCCAUUAUCAAUAGGAUACUAUUAAAUUUCGGGUCCAGAAAUGCCUGGAGCGGAGACUUUUUGCUGCUGGGUCACCUUCGCCUCACCAAGGUGGAUAUGUGUUUAAUUCUUUCACCAAGAAAAACUCACAGAAAAUGGGAACCUGAAAAAGUGCUGAAUUCUAGCUGGUACUUACCAUUAAUUUACUUCGCUCUUUAAACCCUGAUUGCCCAG
rnacentral:lncRNA from 1 species